rnacentral:rRNA from 1 species
GAUGAACGCUGGCGGCGUGCUUAACACAUGCAAGUCGAACGAUGAAGCCCAGCUUGCUGGGUGGAUUAGUGGCGAACGGGUGAGUAACACGUGAGUAACCUGCCCUUAACUCUGGGAUAAGCCUGGGAAACUGGGUCUAAUACCGGAUAGGAGCGCCCACCGCACGGUGGGUGUUGGAAAGAUUUAUCGGUUUUGGAUGGACUCGCGGCGUAUCAGCUUGUUGGUGUGGUAUUGGCUCACCAAGGCGACGACGGGUAGCCGGCCUGAGAGGGUGACCGGCCACACUGGGACUGAGACACGGCCCAGACUCCUACGGGAGGCAGCAGUGGGGAAUAUUGCACAAUGGGCGCAAGCCUGAUGCAGCGACGCCGCGUGAGGGAUGACGGCCUUCGGGUUGUAAACCUCUUUCAGUAGGGAAGAAGCGAAAGUGACGGUACCUGCAGAAGAAGCACCGGCUAACUACGUG